GUGCUCGCUUCGGCAGCACAUACAGUAAAGUGGGACCGAUCCAGAGAAGAUUAGCAUGGCCCCUGCGCACGGGUGACAUGCAAAUUCGUGAAGUGGUCCAUAUUUUU